GUUCCGUUGGGAGAGCAAGGUGUGGGUGAUGAGAGCGGGGGCAGGCUGAGCUGACCCUGCUGUUUUCUUCUGCAACACUCUGAUGACUUUACUCAUGCUAGCAAGGGCAACCCAAGGGGAACUUUUUCCUGCACGGGAUUUUCGAAGAGCAAUGUUUCAGAAUCGACGUGGACUCUUCACGGGAGGAGCGUGAAGGAGGAGCAGUGUCUGUGGGACUCGUGUGGGCUCCGGGACUGUUGUGGUGAUGUGAGAAGAUAAAGAAACCAGAACUUAAUUAUGUUAUUGUGUAAGAUCUCCUGGCCAGGAGACAAUGAAGCCAAGAUUAGUAAUGAUACUUCUUAGUCUCUACUCCUAUCUCUUGGAAGUAGAUGACACUAGCUCCCAGAGAUGUGCUAUGAGCUGGGAAGGCUUGGGAAGGUCAUAGUGUUUUGCUUUCACCUGAAGCCCAGGGAAUAUAUGCAGCUCUGUACUGCUAACUUUACCUUGGGUUUAUAAGCAUUCAGCAUUGACAUCUCCACAUUUUGACCUCUGACGUGUUUUGGUUGCCUUUGGA